UCCUGCCGGAGGUCACUGCUAUUGGGAUUCGGCUAAGCCAUGCAAGCGGAGGGCGCGGUCGAAAGAUCGUGGCCCCGCACACUGCUCAGUAACACGUAGUCAACCUACCCUUGGGACGGGGACAACCUCGGGAAACUGAGGCUAAUACCCGAUAGGUGAGGGACGCUGGGAUGCCUCCUCGCCCAAAGCUCCGGCGCCCAAGGAUGGGACUGCGGUCUAUCAGGCUGUUGGUGGUGUAACGGACCACCAAACCUACGACGGGUACGGGCGAUGGGAGUCGGAGCCCGGAGAUGGGGACUGAGACAAGGCCCCAGGCCCUACGGGGCGCAGCAGGCGCGAAAACUCCGCAAUGCGCGCAAGCGUGACGGGGGGAUCCCAAGUGCCGUUGGUCUUUCGAUCGACGGUUUUUAGGAAGUCUAAGAAGCUUCCAGAAUAAGGGCUGGGCAAGACUGGUGCCAGCCGCCGCGGUAACACCAGCAGCCCAAGUGGUGGCCACGAUUAUUGGGCCUAAAGCGCUCGUAGCCGGAUCAGCAAGUCCCUUGUGAAAUCGGGCCGCCUAACGGUUCGGCGUGCAAGGGAUACUGUUGGUCUUGAGGCCGGGAGAGGUCGGAGGUACUCCUGGGGUAGCGGUGAAAUGCUCUAAUCCUAGGGGGACCACCAGUGGCGAAGGCGUCCGACCAGAACGGACCUGACGGUGAGGGGCGAAGGCUAGGGGAGCGAACGGGAUUAGAUACCCCGGUAGUCCUAGCUGUAAAGCAUGCGGGCCAGGUGUCUAGUGCUCCUUGAGGGCACUAGGUGCCGGAGGGAAGCCGUUAAGCCCGCCGCCUGGGAAGUACGGCCGCAAGGCUGAAACUUAAAGAAAUUGGCGGGGGAGCACCACAAGAGGUGGGACCUGCGGUUCAAUUGGACUCAACGCCGG
rnacentral:rRNA from 1 species